AUCACUGAACAGUAUUGUUAUAGUCUAUUCAAGUAUUUUCCUGUCUAGUCCUUCUUGGGCCAAGUACUAUUCUAUGGAUAUUGUCAGAUCUAUUAUAAAUUAGAGCAAGAAUGAUCUAGCAAUAUUCAGGGGACAUGCUGUGAACCACAAAGUCGCGCUUUCCCCGCUAUCUACUAGCCACAGUUCGGGUUGAUGAUUGGCUGAAAAGGGCUGUUUUACGUGCGCGAAUGACGUUUCUCUGUCCCACCAAGCAGCGGGUGAUGUCUAAGGAAAGAUGGCGGAAGGAGGAGCGGCUGAUAUUGGUACCCAGAUAGGAGAAGUCGCAGCGCAGCUGAAAACACAGCUACGAAAGGGAGACACUUGGACCUGAGCCCUAGGACCAUACGUCAGGACUACUGGGCAUGAUGACUCCUUGCUGUCCCCAGUCCACCUGGCCUUGCUGCUGUUCCAGUUUCAACUGUUCUGCCUGCAGUUAUGGAACCCCUACCUGUCCCAGACCUGCUGUUUUCAACUCUUAAUGAUCGGCUAUGAAAAGCCAACUGACAUUUAUUCCUGGUUAUUAUUUGACCAUGCUUGUCAUUUAUGAACAUUUUGAACAUCUUGGCAUGUUCUGUUAUCUCCACCCGGCACAGCCAGAAGAGGACUGGCCACCCCUCAUAGCCUGGUUCCUCUCUAGGUUUCUUCCUAGGUUUUGGCCUUUCUAGGGAGUUUUUCCUAGCCACCGUGCUUCUACACCUGCAUUGCUUGCUGUUUGGGGUUUUAGGCUGGGUUUCUGUACAGCACUUCGAGAUAUUAGCUGAUGUACGAAGGGCUAUAUAAAAUAAACUUGAUUGACAAGAUGCAUUUGUUCUGAGCCACUGUCCCUAGACUCCCUGUGUGCAGUGACAGUCCUCUCACAUUUUCUUCCCCUCUCUCUGAGCUCAUUGUGCUGCAUAUUCUGCAGUCCCUGUGUGACCUUCAGAAUGCAUUUCAUCUGCCCCCCUUUCCCUCUCUACACCUCCACACCCUCUCUUGCCUGGCUGCGACACAGAUGCUAACUUCAUUAUUCUCAUCACAUCCUCCUCCAGCUAUGCUCUCUACUCAGGCUACAGUAGAUUCUUAAGGAGACCCAGCUAUAUGAAUACCUAAUUGCAUAUAAAGUAGCUGUCUAUUUGGACAAGAUGCAUUCUGCAGCCUCAGCAGCAAUUCUCUGCUGUCAGGCCCCCUCUGUCACCCCCUCUGCUAUUUUCCCUCCUUUCUCUUGAGCUCUCCAUAUCUCUCUUUCUUGCUUGUACAUCCCCUUUCUUUCCUUUACCCAUCUGUCUCUCUCCUGUACCCUUUCCUCUCACCCUACAUCUCUUUCUCCUGUACCACUCUCUGUACUACCUCUAUUUUGCCUUUCCUUUGCUCUUGUCUCCCCUUUCCCGCUUUCUCUCUGUCUGUGUACCUCUACUUCCUGAAUCAUAUUCUUGCGCAUCGUUGUAGCUUAGGUAGCUGCUGCUAUAAAUAGGCUAUCCUGUGGUAGCAGCAGUGCAGAGCACACGUCAGGGCAGGAGCAGUGUCAUGCUAGGGGACAGGGCAGGGGAUGGCACUGUCACUCAGCAGGGCCUGGAGAGAGUGAGGAGAGACACUGCAUAACUUCAACUGUGACUGAGGGAAGAGGCUUCUCGUUAGCUAUGUUUGACUGUGUUACGCUCGGAAUGGGAUGGACCUCGCUUACUGUUCCCUCUGCUGCAUAUCUGAACUGGGACUGAGCUCUGAGACCAAGGCCUGGGCAAGGAGUGAGCUGAGCUACAACUGGGCUAGACCUGAACUCUAGUUAAAGCGUUUGAGGUGAGAUGCUGCUGGUGGUGGCUGAAACCUAUAUGGAUUUUGAACGACAAGAUGGUUGUUGAAAGCCUGGGCAGAUGCUAAGUUAAGGCAAUGGCAAAUAUUUGUGGAGCAGUAACUGUAUGAGCUGUCUUACCGUAGUGAGCUAGGUUACAGGCCAAAUCAUUCUACUUCCUUAGCUCUAUGGCAGACUGUUGAUGAUCACGCUAAAUUCUGGAAAACCGAUAAUUCAUUGAAGCCGGGUAAUUCCUCUACUUCCCUGCCUAAGCAGUUUUCUGCAUCAUUACUGAAAAAGUUACGACUUAUGAUGCUUUUAAUCAGCAUUUAACUCCGCUGGUUUCCUAUUUGAAAAAUGUUUAUCUUACUGGUUUUGGCCAGUCAGUUGACUCGAUGGAUAAUCACUCACCCUUACGUGACUUGGUAAAUGGUAGGUUUUUAUUUUUGGCAACUCACAGAAACUGAUGUUAUUGCUGCCUUAUUAGCAAUUGACACCAUGAAGUCCAUUAGCAGCUUGACAAUUUGGACCCGUCUUUGCUUAAGUAUGCAGCGCCUCUCAUUGCUGGGACUGUAACACAAAUGUUUUAAUAUAUAUUCCAAAAAUGUGGAAAGCAGCUUUGUUGCUACCACUUCAUAAGGGUGGGGAUAGUAGUGAUCUUGAUAAUUAUCAACCCAUUUCCAGGCUCCCCUGUCUUUCAAAAAUUCUAGGAUCAUUGGUCCACAAACGGCUGUUAUUUUCUGUAAAUUGUUUUCUUAAUAUUAAUCAAUCGGAUUCAGACCUAAACAUAGCACCAUUAUGGCUACCAUGCUGUUUGUAAAUUAUAUUGCAAAUGCCUUAAAGAAUUGUUGGCAUGUCUGUUGAAUAAGCUGUCCUCGAUAGGGUUGGGUACUGAUGCUUGCCGAUGGUUUCAUAAUUAUCUCAAUGACAACUCAGGCCAACAAGGUAGAUGGGAUCAAAUCGGAGUUCCUUGACUUACAUAAAGGAUGUUUUACAAUCUACAGUGUAUAUAAAUAAAAUUGGUAAUGCUUAAAAAAUAUAUACAUUUAUUUAGAUGCAGAUAUUCUGCAAUAUUAAAGCUGAUCACUGAGUUCUA